UUUUUUUUUUUUUUUUUUUUUUUGAGACGGAGUCUCGCUCUGUCGCCCAGGCUGGAGUGCAGUGGCGAUCUCGGCUCACUGCAAGCUCCGCCUCCCGGGUUCACGCCAUUCUCCUGCCUCAGCCUCCCGAGUAGCUGGGACUACAGGCGCCACAACCGCGCCCGGCUAAUUUUUGUAUUUUUAGUAGAGACGGGUUUCACCGUGGUCUCGAUCUCCUGACCUUGUGAUCCGCCCUCCUCCCAAAGUGCUGGGAUUACAGGCGUGAGCCACCGCGCCCGGCCCCCAGUGGCUUCUUUAUAAAGGUCGCCUGGAAACUAUCCAGUGUGCUGAUAAUGGCUAGAAAUUCACUGGACUCCAUUUACGGUAAUGCCGGGUCCAAACUGCACAAUAGCUAACUGGAGCCUUAGUUGAUCACAGGCCAAUGUAGGGAUUCUGGCAACAGCAGAAUGUCCAAGUUCAGGGAGGGACGCUGACCAUGACCUAAAAUGAUGCUUUCUUACGAAAGUCCUACUAAAUCACUUCAAUAUAGUGAUUAAGGUUCCUUUCUGCCCUUUUUUUUUUUUUUUUUUUGAGAUGGAGUCUCGCUCUGCUGCCCUGGCUGGAGUGCAAUGGCGCGAUCUCGGCUCACUGAAACCUCCGCCCAGGUUCCAGCGAUUCUCCUGCCUCAACCUCCCAAGGAGCUGGGAUUACAGGAGCCUGCCACACCUGGCUAAUUUUUCUAUUUUUAGUAGAGACGGGGUUUCACCGUGUCAGUCAGGCUGGUCUCGAACUCCUGACCUCAGGUGAUCUGCCUGUCUUGGCCUCCCAAAGUGCUGAGAUUACAGGCGUGAGCAACUGUACCUGGCCCGCUUUCUGCCCUUUUCUUAAUGCUUUUACUAUUUUUUAAUUCUGAAGAUUAACUGGGAAGAAAUUGUAAUCAGACAUUACUCUCACCUGUUUCUUUUAAUUAUACAUACUUUAGAUUGCAGACUGAAUACAAAUAUUAAUCAGAAGCCAAAACAUCCCACACAUUACUUAUCAAUCAACCCAGGCCAAUCUGUCUUUCAACUGUACAUUUUUAUGUUCUUGCCUCACCACUUACUAAAAUAAACGUAAGAAUAAAUAGCAAUACAAUCCAAAUAAGCAUCUCUCAUCUAUAAUUAUCUGAAGCAAGGGAUUUAAAGAUGGGUAGAGUUAAUCCACCUCACCAAGUGCAUCUUCAAUGCCUGUUCAGUCAUGCUUCAAUGUCUACAUUCAAUUUAUAGAGAAUAUGAAUAUAUAACAUUGUAGAGGGAGGCUUCUGGCAGAUCCAGUCUGACAAGAACAAAAGGUCAAACAGUUCUUUUGCUACUCUGUGACAGUUAAAGAGUCUCUGGGUUGGGUUAAAGGGUUGGAGAGUUAUGUUUAGAUCUGGAAUGGAUCACUCACACAAUUAAGUUCUUGUCAGACCUAAAAACAUGACAGCACAACUUUCCCCAGGCAAAAGGACAGCCAGAUGGAAAGCAACUAUUUUUCUCAACCUAUCUCAAAAUUUGAAAUGAGAAUAAAUAAUGGAAAAAACAUUUCUAAGUUUCAGAACAUACUUCUACUUGGGCUGCUGGGGUUGUUAUUUUCGGGUGACAUUUGUAAAUCAUGGGAAAACAUAAUCUGACUUUUUUCCUCAUUGGAAACUGGUUACUCAAGUGAAAAACUAACCCUUUUAUCACCUUUUAACUCAGAAACUGAGCACUAAAAGAUAUUACAGUUUAGACAGUACUCAACUAUUGAAUCCAUAUUUUUAGUCAUUAUACAUUGACUUAUACAACACUGCUUGCAACGUAUAAUUUAGAUAUUCAUCUCUCAGCUGAUGAGUAAACAUUUUGAGUAUUUUCCUGCUGAUGCUGCCUGCAAGCAACAGUUCAGUUUUGGCAUUUUCAUCAUCUUUGUCUGACAUGAAUUUUUGUUUCUGUUCAAUUAUUGGCAAAAUAGAACUAUUGCGCCAAAGACAAAUUAUUAGGCUUGCUAUAGGUGGCAAAGUAUUUGGCUUCAACCAGAUAUUCAUUGUGUGAUAAACUAUCAAGGAAAAUAAUGUAUAAAGUUUCGGAAAUACACUGGUGAAAACGCUAUCAAAAAGGCAAGAUGCCUUGAGAAGGACCUUUCCUCCUUCCACAUAUGCAGUAUAGGAACACAUUUAAGUCUAUUGUUCAACUUUCAGCGAUGUGACUUAGUUACACAUUUUGGAGACCUAAUAUGUACUAAAACAGGGGACUACAUAUUGCCUAAAGGUUAGACUCUAAAUCAAUUAUUAGUGACCAAGUCCAGCACAGGUUCACAGAAGAUUAAGAGAUAAAAGGAUCCACAGAGCUUACCUACUUCAAAAUGUGAUAGUACUGUAGAUGCAAAAACUGGAGGCCACAUAGAUUAUUUUACUUGCCUAAUGCUCUACAACUGAAUUUAUGGUAAUGCUGGGUCCACAACCUGGGGUUUCUCUAACUCAGCAGUCUUUCCAUCACUAUUAUUUUGUUAAGCUCUGUCAUGUUAACAUUACAAUUCUAUCAGGUCCCUCAAAAAUCAUGGGAGGUAUAAUUCCUGACAGCCUGGAAAUUACAGUGCCUCCAGGUUCUGGGUCUGUAAAUGUCCCUUGUUCCACUAAAUUAAUAUGGUAUCUACUAAUACCUGAAUGCCAAAUCAAUACAGGCUGAUGCUGCAAAUAUUUUAAAAAUGUUUUCUGCAUUUUAUCUUCUAGGUCUAGGGUUAAAUGUCACUUUUUCAGACAUGCCUUUUCUAGCACGCAUAUCUAUGCUUUCCUGUUCUUCAUGUAACUUUACAGCACAUACUGUAUUUUGAAAUCAGUUAUUUAAUUAUUAUAUAUCUUCUCAAAUAUAUUAUUUAAUUCCAUGAAGGCAGGGUCAUUUCUGUUUGGUUCACAACUGUUUAUAUAGCACCUACCACAUAGUCUCAGCAUAUAAAAGAAGCUCAAAUAUUUGUUGAAUAAACAAAUGAAUUUCUCUCUCUAAUUAUGGUUGAGGCAAGCCUUAUGGAAGCCCUAAUUAUCCCUUUUAGUCUGUCCUAAACUUGAUAUCUAAGCCCAAGGGAUUAAAGUUCCAGGGAAGUAGAUUUUCCUGAGAUUUUUAGCUCAGUAAAAGCUAGCAAUUAGAUUCAGAAAUGGAAUGAGCAGUUUUGUUGGACACUGAUUUCUUUGUCAAAAAGAGACUGGAAAACCAAGCGCCCAGGUAAACAGAACCUCUCUGCAUUAGGCAGAAGGUCAACUUUGCAAACUCUCAGGUGUCUUCCAACUCUUAAGGCUCUGGAAUUUGUUUCUUUUCAGCUGUUUGAUUUUAAAUUAGGUUAAAGUAUACAUACAAACUUCAUUAGGAAAUAAUCUAGGAGAACCCAUCUAAUGAGACUUAGAAAACUGAUUAUUCAGGCAUGCAUGCCCAUUUACAAUUACUUGAUACAUGCGUAUUCCACUGAGAAUACAAUUUGCUAUAGGUCCUUAUACAUGUAACUCAAUGAAGACAAAGACUAAAACAAGUUUUUAAAAAGUUUAUGUAGCAUUUCAAUUUUAAACAUAUGCAUGUGUGUGUGUGUGCGCACACACGUAUUAUAUCAACUCUGAAGAAAAUGAUGUUGAGUUCCUAUACAGUAAGCAGCUUGUCCAAAGUGCUAGAAUUGUCAGGUUCCAAACUCCCCAAUCAGUGCUCUUUUCACUCUCAUAGACCGCACUACUUUUUUUUUCUUUUUUUAGAUGGAGUCUCCC
rnacentral:lncRNA from 1 species